UACGUAGGGGGCAAGCGUUGUCCGGAUUUAUUGGGCGUAAAGAGCGUGUAGGCGGCCUGGAAGGUCAGCUGUGAAAACUCGAGGCUCAACCUCGAGACGUCGGUUGAAACCACCUGGCUAGAGUCCGGAAGAGGAGAGUGGAAUUCCCGGUGUAGCGGUGAAAUGCGCAGAUAUCUGGAGGAACACCGGUGGCGAAGGCGGCAUCCUGGACCGGUAUUGACGCUGAUGAGCGAAAGCCAGGGGAGCAAACGGG
rnacentral:rRNA from 1 species